UGUAGAAAAGGAGCAGGAUGAGGAAGAGGAGGGUUCCCUGCCACAUUGGCUGCAGAGCCCAGCGCAGGCUCAUGUUCUCCCCACCACCCUGUUUCACGUGCCCAUCCCAGGACCUGUGUGAUGAUGCAAGAAGGCAGGAGGCUUUGCUGUGGUUACUGAAGUCCCAGGGACCCGCGGAUUCCACCUGCUCCCUGGAAUUGAUUCAGCUCCAGCACUGCCCCAUCCCAGCUGCUGGUCCUGGAGGGCGGAGGGAAGGUGCGACGCUGAGGCAGGAAAACCAGCCACCUCUGGAAGGCCCCUCUGCUGUAGACGGAGCGUCCUGCAUGAAGGACUGUAAAACCAGAGCUGAUGCAUGCCCAGAAAUUACACUGAUUUAAUGGAGCUGGUUUGUAGAUUCGUUUGUAGCCGUGUGCCAACUGCUGCAGCGAUUGAACUAAACUGAUUUCCUUGAGGGAUUUCUCGUUUGGGCCGCUCUGCUGCCAGUCCGGCCGGGCAGUUUAGUUCCUUGUUCCCACAGGAUUGUGCCUGGGUUAAAGAGUCUGUUUUCACCCCAGAGAGAUGCUAGCCCAGGAUGGGGAUGGCAGCUCCAAGGUUUGUCUUGCCUCCCCUGUUUAUAGCUUGUACAACACAGGGCUGUGUGCAGGGACACUGUCCCCAUGGCGAGGGGACAGCCAGGGUCUGGGCGAGGGCUGGGGGUUAUAUUGCAGCACCGAGGCUGAGCAGGGAAUUUGGGCUCUGCAUCACGCUCACGCCUGGGCUCUGACAGGCAGAAACGUGGGCAGUGCACGUGAGUCCAGAACUGAGACCGUUGCAGAAGAAAUCCCUGCUAAGCAGCCAAGAUCUUAAUUUUUUCCACCCAAAUAAAACCUCAGCCAGAAAACAGGCUGUAUCCAGGGCAACGCCGGUGCCUCGCAGCUUGGGUUUGCUGAGAUCCGAUCUGGGAUCCCUUUGGACCAGCACUGGGGUAGGAUGGCUCUGGUUAUCACUCGGGUCUGCCUGGAGGGGAUGGGAGAGGCUCGGGGGGUUUAGGGGGGUCUCCCGAGGCUCCCCCAGAGCCUCACGGAGAUGCUCCACUGCCAUCUAGUGACAACGGCACCUCGGAGAGGGAAGGACGGUGGCACCGGCCCUGAUGAGCCCAGCCGGAGGCAGCGGGUCCAGCCCACUCCCCCCAGGGAAUGCAGCCUCCGGGGGUCUGGGUGUGGAGCUGAACCACCUCCCCGGGGAAAGGAGGUUUCUCCAUCACCACUGAUUUCCUCCCCGCAAGGACAGAGCGUUUCCCUGCUGUCCUCCCCUGUGCAACCUGCUGCAGGCACCUGCCUGGGUGAGCCUGGCAUCACUGGAGGGGAAACGGCUUCUCCAGCCCUGGCUGUCCAAACAUAACGUGCUCAGGCUCCAAACAUCUCCAGAUCAGGCUAUUGCAUUUUAAAAACUUGCCUUUUCCAACGGAGCUAAUGGGAACAAGGUGCCUGUGCAUCUCUGGCCAUAGGUACCCAAUCCCCUCCAGCGCCUUGGACACGCCACAGCCUCCUGGAGCAUCUCUCCACCACCUCCCCCCUCCCUUCCCUCAUCAACACUGAAAUUAUUUAGUGCCUUUAACAUAAUUAACACGUUGGAAUCCUAAACUGCUCGCAGCUGCCCGGCCUUGCAAUUUAUCCUUCCACCCAGCCAUUAAUGCCUUCCUCCAGGCAAUUAUAAAGCAGAAAAAUGCUGCAGACCUGAGCCCGAUGCUGGAGGAAAAGGAAGAAAUGGGGCAGGGGACCUGCGUGCGUUAAUAUAAUUAACCACCGCGAUCCCAAAUUGCUUGGCGGCUGCCUGGCUCCGUAAUUCAUCCGUCCACAGAGCUGUUAAUGUGACCAUAGGGGCUGUUAGCGCACACGUGUGUGCAAAUGUGUGCGCGAGGCUGCCAUGUUGUCUCUGUCCCCUGCUUUUUGGGGGAGAUUUCCCUCCCAGCAUCAUCUCCCCAGACACAUCUCGCCCCUCCAUUUGCCACCUGAAAUCACAGCAGCUGCUGUACGAUUAUACGCCUCUGUUCCGUAAUUACUUUUCCUUAUGCUAAUUGUGUAAUUGGGAGAGGCGAUUACCUGGUGAAGUGCGAUAGGAAGAAGGGCUGGUGCGCUCUCCCAGCAUGGCUGCUCGUGGGAUCCCUCCCCAGCUGGUCCUGGGGUAAAUCAGGAGGAGGGUCCCUGUCCCUCUUGUGGAGGGGACCCCUGUGUUUGCAGCGCGGUGCCUCAGCCACGUCCUGCUCACACGGCAGCUGAGGGCACACCUUUCCAAUCACCCUUUUUUCUUCCUCUUUUACUGCCCAAACUCCUGACCCUCGGGGUUUUCCCCAGCAGUGGUGGCUCCCCCCGAGUAUCAGCCUCUGCCCCCAACCUCACGCGUGCCAGCUGCCAGAUUCCCUGUGUC